GUCUGCGCAGGCGCAGAGCACUUAGGACCGGAAGUAGAGGCGUCCGCCGCUGGUUCGGAGACUAGGAGAUCUUGGAGCAGUCCUGUCGUCACCCAGCUUCAGACUACUCAGAAGUGAUGUACUCUGCCUGGUGUCUGCUCUGUCCGUGGGAGUCAUCCCAGCCACUUCACAAGGUCUCCUCACUCAAAACUAAAAUAGAGCUCCAACAGUUCCUAGGGUUGGACUGAGUCCCCUCCUACCCCUGUGACUGCAUAAAGUAAACCUCUGGACUCUGAGACUGAAGGCUGAGUUGGUGAAAUUGCUAAUGCCACCAGGAGGUGAUUGGUGGCCUUUUAUGUCAGUUUUUCCCAGGUUGGAUGUCCCUGUGCCUUUGCUGUUUCCCGUGUGUUGGAAUUGAAUUUGAGUAAUAGUU